rnacentral:misc_RNA from 2 species
AACGCACAUUGCGCCCUCUGGUAUUCCGGGGGGCAUGCCUGUUCGAGCGUCAUUACACCCCUCAAGCUCUGCUUGGUGUUGGGCGUCACCACUCUGUCGGUGCGCCCCAAAGUCAGUGGCGGUGCCAUUCGGCCUCAAGCGUAGUAAUACUUUUCGCUUCGGGGACCCGGGUGAGUGCUCGCCAGCAACCCCAACUUUCUCAAGUUUGACCUCGGAUCAGGUAGGGAUACCCGCUGAACUUAA